GUCGCCGCGGCCAGCAGAGGAGGCGACGCGCUUUCGUAAACAUUAUCCCCUAUUUUCAAGAGUGAAAAAAAAGUCCUUGAAUUGGAUUUUCAAAGCGUUUCCAUGACUGUUGAAGGCACUGUUUUACCUGGUGGAGGCUGGUCUCUGCAGGGAAGAUCUCUUGCCAGCUAGAAGAUUUCCCAUCCAACCACUGCAGCAGUGCAGAUGCAGCAGAUUCAGCAAGAGGCAAUGAGAGUGGAAACAGGCUGCCACAGCUUUCAAUGAGUGCCACAAGAAUCCUUGCAUUCUAUAAGUUAAAAAUAUGUAUAUUCCAUUAGCAUUAUUUCCCUUCACUAACUGACAAGAUUAGUGGCAGGACACAAUGAGCACUGGGUGAAGAUAAACAUCAAUACCUAUGGAAGAAAAGAAUGCAAUGUCUCAUUGAAUAACUAAGUCAACAACUGGUCCAACGCCUUGUGUACUCUCUCCUGCAGUCCAGGAGAGUGCCAUCUCAAGAGAGUCUUUGUCACCACCUGCACAACACCCUGUUGGACAGAAGCUAUAUUGAAUGCCUGGCCAGUGAGAUGCUUUUCAGCUAACCUAAAAAGAUACAUUUGCUUUGCUGCAUAAUAAAAAAUUCUAAGAUAUCCACAAGCACUCUUAAAUUUGUCUAACUGAACCGAAACUGCUUUAUCAAUAUUUUCUUGAACACUACCUGAAAUAAAAAUAUCUCUGAAGCAUUCUACCUUCAUAAAUUUUCUUACAGCACAUUUUCUCUUUAGACCAAAUUUAUAAAUAUUUAUAUUUUCUGUCUAUAUACUGUGUGAUUAGCAUGCAAUAACAAUGUAUUUCAAAGACUUCGUAUAGUUGGAAAUUGAUCAGAAAAAAAGAUAUGAUUUUCUUGAAAGUGAACUGAGUUAUAGCAAUUGCCUUGUGGUGGAGAGAAAGGUCAAUGAGCUUUAGCCAGGAACACAGAGGACAGGAUGAGGUAGAGCAGCCGUCAUCAACCACCACCACCACCGCCACCUUCUGGCCAUCAAACUUGUAGAGGGGACCCUGCAGCUCCCUGGCUGUCAGUUCUACCUUGAGUUCCUCCAUCCAUGACCCCUUGUGCGUGUGCAGCCACGUUCCUGUGCCUAGGUACCUGAUGGAGGAAGCCACGGGCAGCCAAGUCCCUCUUCCAGGCUUCCUCCAGUCCCUUGCCCGACUCUGGGCUUAGUGCAGCCAGAUAGGUAAGGCAGGUGGCAGCCAGCAGACACUCCCCAGUAACCUCCUGAAGCAUUG